CCCGCCGGCGACCGGCGCACGGGUGAGUAACACGUAUGAAACCUGCCCGUAGCAGGGGGAUAAGCGGAAGAAAUUCCGUCUAAUACCGCGUAACAACCCGAGGAGGCAUCUCCUCGGAUUUAAAGGAAGCGAUUCCGGCUACGGAUGGUCAUGCGUCGCAUUAGCUAGUUGGCGGGGUAACGGCCCACCAAGGCGACGAUGCGUAGGGGUUCUGAGAGGAAGGUCCCCCACACUGGUACUGAGACACGGACCAGACUCCUACGGAAGGCAGCAG
rnacentral:rRNA from 1 species